UCAAUUAAAGAUUACAUUUUAUUAUUCACCGAAAAAUAUCAUAAAAUAAGAAGGAAGGGCUCGAUACACGUUUAAAAUAAUAAUUAAUUUCUGCAAAUAUAAAUUCAAUGACUGAGGAAAAUAAUUACGAAGACAAGUUAAGAAAGUUUGGCGUUUCGGAAGAAACAUUGUCUACUUUGAGAGGAGGGGACUAACUUGCCUUAUUCAGUCAAGGAAUCGGCUUUGAAGUCAAACACGGCUGUUCAGCCAUAUAUUUUGUGCACCAAAGGACAAAAUGGGUGCAACACUUAUUUUGUCCAAGGAGAUGGCUUCUUUCUCAAACCUUCAAACAAUGAACCAGUGAAUGCUUUCGAUUUGUUGUUUAAAGUUUACUUCGCGUUAAAUUUAUGCUAUCCCAUUGGUUUACAAAAUUUUUUUAAUUUUAUGGACAGUUAUGUCUACGAGGUAAAUAAUCAACCUCGUG